AAAAAAGCAGUGAUUUCCCACACUCUUUCUCAAUCGUUGUGAUAAAAACGUUAUGUUCCUCAGAAAAGCCCUGGUGACACCCUGCUGAGUUGGUAAUACUUGCCAUCCCAAACAAGCAUGUCAUGAUCCGAGGUCCUGUGACACCAUGGCUGGUGUCCUUUGAUUUCUGAACACAGCCGCGAUGGCUAGAGAGCGUCGGCUGACUGCUCCCUCGGUAUACUCUACUUUGAGGAGCUGUCUGGGAGACGUGCCUGCGAGAUUUCAGGAGCUGCCUGGAUCACACACGACUCCGGAUGCUCCUCUGCAGUCCCUUCACCACUGAUACUUGAUUCCAGUAUUGCUGCGGAGCAGCGCCCUCUGCUGGUCAUGCUGAAGCAUUACAUCAUGAGAAAAAUCGAUAAUACGAAAAGAUGAAGGGAAGGGAGGAAAAAAGAGGGGGGCGGGUAGGGGAAGAAAGGGAAAGGAACGUUUUAAAAAAGGAAAUGCAAAAAGAAGGAAAGAAGUUAAAUAUAGUUGGGUUAUACAGUCUUUAACCGAAGCUUUGGCAUACAUUAGAAAUAAAGUAUGUUUGCCUCAUAGUACGGCUAUUUAGUAGACAGAGACUAUUUUCCCUGCAGAAAAUUUUUGUCAUACUUGAAAGAUUAAAAAAAAAGUUACUGUUAUUGAAA